UACGACUACAUAUCAGGCAUAUCAAUAAGCGGAGGAAAAGAAACUAACAAGGAUUCCCUUAGUAACGGCGAGUGAAGCGGGAAGAGCUCAAAUUUGAAAUCUUCAAGGUUCUACCUUGACGAAUUGUAGUUUAUAGAAGUGUUUUCUGUUAGUGGAGUGGCAAAAGUUCUUUGGAAUAGGACAUCAUAGAGGGUGAGAAUCCCGUAUUUGGUCAUUCCUCCUAGCGUUGUGAUACACUUUCAACGAGUCGGAUUGUUUGGGAAUGCAGUCCAAAAUGGGUGGUAAAUUUCAUCUAAAGCUAAAUAUUGGCGAGAGACCGAUAGCGAACAAGUACCGUGAGGGAAAGAUGAAAAGAACUUUGAAAAGAGAGUUAAACAGUACGUGAAAUUGUCAAAAGGGAAGCGUUUGACACCAGUGUUGUUUUUCCGAAAAUCAAUUACGAAUGUUUUAUUUUUGAGGAGUUAUGACUUCAUCGGCUUGCUCCUUUCUUUACGAAACUUUCUUAAUGCACUUUUCGGUUAACAAGUCAACAUCAAUUUCUUUUGUUGUAAAAGGGUAUGAGGAAGGUGGCUUUCUUUUCGGAGAAAGUGUUUAUAGCCCUUGUGACUCCUGCAAUCGGAGAGACUGAGGUCUGCAGCGUAGAUCCUUCUGGGAUUAGAUUCAGUUUGUGCUAAGUUAUAGCUUUUCAUAGACAACUUGUUGACUAUGUUUAGUCUUGUAGCUUACUCGCUGAUGUAUUUUACCUACGCUUAGGAUGUUGAAUCUGUGCGAGACUAC
rnacentral:rRNA from 1 species